rnacentral:rRNA from 1 species
GGUUAAGCGACUAAGCGUACACGGUGGAUGCCCUGGCAGUCAGAGGCGAUGAAGGACGUGCUAAUCUGCGAUAAGCGUCGGUAAGGUGAUAUGAACCGUUAUAACCGGCGAUUUCCGAAUGGGGAAACCCAGUGUGUUUCGACACACUAUCAUUAACUGAAUCCAUAGGUUAAUGAGGCGAACCGGGGGAACUGAAACAUCUAAGUACCCCGAGGAAAAGAAAUCAACCGAGAUUCCCCCAGUAGCGGCGAGCGAACGGGGAGCAGCCCAGAGCCUGAAUCAGUGUGUGUGUUAGUGGAAGCGUCUGGAAAGGCGCGCGAUACAGGGUGACAGCCCCGUACACAAAAAUGCACAUGCUGUGAGCUCGAUGAGUAGGGCGGGACACGUGGUAUCCUGUCUGAAUAUGGGGGGACCAUCCUCCAAGGCUAAAUACUCCUGACUGACCGAUAGUGAACCAGUACCGUGAGGGAAAGGCGAAAAGAACCCCGGCGAGGGGAGUGAAAAAGAACCUGAAACCGUGUACGUACAAGCAGUGGGAGCACGCUUAGGCGUGUGACUGCGUACCUUUUGUAUAAUGGGUCAGCGACUUAUAUUCUGUAGCAAGGUUAACCGAAUAGGGGAGCCGAAGGGAAACCGAGUCUUAACUGGGCGUUAAGUUGCAGGGUAUAGACCCGAAACCCGGUGAUCUAGCCAUGGGCAGGUUGAAGGUUGGGUAACACUAACUGGAGGACCGAACCGACUAAUGUUGAAAAAUUAGCGGAUGACUUGUGGCUGGGGGUGAAAGGCCAAUCAAACCGGGAGAUAGCUGGUUCUCCCCGAAAGCUAUUUAGGUAGCGCCUCGUGAAUUCAUCUCCGGGGGUAGAGCACUGUUUCGGCAAGGGGGUCAUCCCGACUUACCAACCCGAUGCAAACUGCGAAUACCGGAGAAUGUUAUCACGGGAGACACACGGCGGGUGCUAACGUCCGUCGUGAAGAGGGAAACAACCCAGACCGCCAGCUAAGGUCCCAAAGUCAUGGUUAAGUGGGAAACGAUGUGGGAAGGCCCAGACAGCCAGGAUGUUGGCUUAGAAGCAGCCAUCAUUUAAAGAAAGCGUAAUAGCUCACUGGUCGAGUCGGCCUGCGCGGAAGAUGUAACGGGGCUAAACCAUGCACCGAAGCUGCGGCAGCGACACUAUGUGUUGUUGGGUAGGGGAGCGUUCUGUAAGCCUGUGAAGGUGUGCUGUGAGGCAUGCUGGAGGUAUCAGAAGUGCGAAUGCUGACAUAAGUAACGAUAAAGCGGGUGAAAAGCCCGCUCGCCGGAAGACCAAGGGUUCCUGUCCAACGUUAAUCGGGGCAGGGUGAGUCGACCCCUAAGGCGAGGCCGAAAGGCGUAGUCGAUGGGAAACAGGUUAAUAUUCCUGUACUUGGUGUUACUGCGAAGGGGGGACGGAGAAGGCUAUGUUGGCCGGGCGACGGUUGUCCCGGUUUAAGCGUGUAGGCUGGUUUUCCAGGCAAAUCCGGAAAAUCAAGGCUGAGGCGUGAUGACGAGGCACUACGGUGCUGAAGCAACAAAUGCCCUGCUUCCAGGAAAAGCCUCUAAGCAUCAGGUAACAUCAAAUCGUACCCCAAACCGACACAGGUGGUCAGGUAGAGAAUACCAAGGCGCUUGAGAGAACUCGGGUGAAGGAACUAGGCAAAAUGGUGCCGUAACUUCGGGAGAAGGCACGCUGAUAUGUAGGUGAAGUCCCUUGCGGAUGGAGCUGAAAUCAGUCGAAGAUACCAGCUGGCUGCAACUGUUUAUUAAAAACACAGCACUGUGCAAACACGAAAGUGGACGUAUACGGUGUGACGCCUGCCCGGUGCCGGAAGGUUAAUUGAUGGGGUCAGCGCAAGCGAAGCUCUUGAUCGAAGCCCCGGUAAACGGCGGCCGUAACUAUAACGGUCCUAAGGUAGCGAAAUUCCUUGUCGGGUAAGUUCCGACCUGCACGAAUGGCGUAAUGAUGGCCAGGCUGUCUCCACCCGAGACUCAGUGAAAUUGAACUCGCUGUGAAGAUGCAGUGUACCCGCGGCAAGACGGAAAGACCCCGUGAACCUUUACUAUAGCUUGACACUGAACAUUGAGCCUUGAUGUGUAGGAUAGGUGGGAGGCUUAGAAGUGUGGACGCCAGUCUGCAUGGAGCCGACCUUGAAAUACCACCCUUUAAUGUUUGAUGUUCUAACGUUGACCCGUAAUCCGGGUUGCGGACAGUGUCUGGUGGGUAGUUUGACUGGGGCGGUCUCCUCCUAAAGAGUAACGGAGGAGCACGAAGGUUGGCUAAUCCUGGUCGGACAUCAGGAGGUUAGUGCAAUGGCAUAAGCCAGCUUGACUGCGAGCGUGACGGCGCGAGCAGGUGCGAAAGCAGGUCAUAGUGAUCCGGUGGUUCUGAAUGGAAGGGCCAUCGCUCAACGGAUAAAAGGUACUCCGGGGAUAACAGGCUGAUACCGCCCAAGAGUUCAUAUCGACGGCGGUGUUUGGCACCUCGAUGUCGGCUCAUCACAUCCUGGGGCUGAAGUAGGUCCCAAGGGUAUGGCUGUUCGCCAUUUAAAGUGGUACGCGAGCUGGGUUUAGAACGUCGUGAGACAGUUCGGUCCCUAUCUGCCGUGGGCGCUGGAGAACUGAGGGGGGCUGCUCCUAGUACGAGAGGACCGGAGUGGACGCAUCACUGGUGUUCGGGUUGUCAUGCCAAUGGCACUGCCCGGUAGCUAAAUGCGGAAGAGAUAAGUGCUGAAAGCAUCUAAGCACGAAACUUGCC